GAUGAACGCUAGCGGGAGGCCUAACACAUGCAAGCCGAGCGGGAUUUGUUGGUUAGCUUGCUAACUAACAAUGAGAGCGGCGUACGGGUGCGUAGCACGUGUGCAACCUGCCUUUAUCUGGGGGAUAGCCUUUCGAAAGGAAGAUUAAUACCCCAUAACAUAUUGAUUGGCAUCAGUUAAUAUUGAAAGCUCCGGCGGAUAGAGAUGGGCACGCGUAAGAUUAGCUAGUUGGUGAGGUAACGGCUCACCAAGGCUGCGAUCUUUAGGGGGCCUGAGAGGGUGAUCCCCCACACUGGUACUGAGACACGGACCAGACUCCUACGGGAGGCAGCAGUGAGGAAUAUUGGACAAUGGGUGAGAGCCAGAUCCAGCCAUCCCGCGUGAAGGACUAAGGACCUAUGGUUUGUAAACUUCUUUUAUACAGGGAUAAACCUACUCUCGUGAGGGUAGCUGAAGGUACUGUAUGAAUAAGCACCGGCUAACUCCGUG
rnacentral:rRNA from 1 species